rnacentral:misc_RNA from 1 species
AGUCGUAACAAGGUUUCCGUAGGUGAACCUGCGGAAGGAUCAUUACUGUGAUUUACUACUACACUGCGUGAGCGGAACGAAAACAACAACACCUAAAAUGUGGAAUAUAGCAUAUAGUCGACAAGAGAAAUCUACGAAAAAACAAACAAAACUUUCAACAACGGAUCUCUUGGUUCUCGCAUCGAUGAAGAGCGCAGCGAAAUGCGAUACCUAGUGUGAAUUGCAGCCAUCGUGAAUCAUCGAGUUCUUGAACGCACAUUGCGCCCCUCGGCAUUCCGGGGGGCAUGCCUGUUUGAGCGUCGUUUCCAUCUUGCGCGUGCGCAGAGUUGGGGGAGCGGAGCGGACGACGUGUAAAGAGCGUCGGAGCUGCGACUCGCCUGAAAGGGAGCGAAGCUGGCCGAGCGAACUAGACUUUUUUUCAGGGACGCUUGGCGGCCGAGAGCGAGUGUUGCGAGACAACAAAAAGCUCGACCUCAAAUCAGGUAGGAAUACCCGCUGAACUUAAGCAUAUCAAUAAGCGGAGGAA